AUGGCAAAGAAGAUCCUCGAGGAGGAAUACAGGAAGUUGCUGGAGGAAAACUCCGGGCCCGAGCAGAUCGUCGAGCGGCUGAAGGCGCAGCUUCUGCCUCUGGAUAAAGAGAUAAGUGAUGCUGAAAGAACGAUUCAAGAGGGGAUCCUCGUCCCGAAGGACUUGGACUUGAAGAACACCCUCGAAAACAGAAAGCAGGUGCUUCUAAGGAGCCUGGAAAUGGAAACGCAAAAGUUUAAUGACUUGUGCAAAAAACAUGCUCAGUAUGAAGAAAUAGUUUUUCUGAGGAAGCAAGUAGAAGCCAAACUGCAAAUCAAAAGGAAAUUGGAUCAGCAGCUGGCCACGCUGCAAGCCGAGCAGGCUUUAGAUGCUUCCAGCCAGAUGAGACAAAUGCUGAAGCUGAAGAUGAGGAUCGAUGAAGAAAAGUUUCACUUCCAAAACACAAAAGAGCGACUGAAGGUUAGCACAGAGUGUGCUGCUAAACUGCAGACUUUCAUAGGAGGGAAGUGUCGGGGUAUUCCACACGAGGAGACAGCAAAACCAGUCACAGAGGCCUCGGAGCAGCAGGAGACGAAGGAGCUGAGCUCCAGCGACCAGCUGGGUGCCAUCGGAGGUGACCCAGAGAUGUUUGUCACUCAGGAUACAGAGACUCAGUCCAGCUACGUGGAUGUAUACAUCUGUGGGCUGAAGGAAGAACGCAGGAUGAUAGAAGAAAGUAUAAAAAAGACCCAGGUGUGUGUGUGUGUGUGUGUGUGUGUGUGUGUGUGUGUGUGUGUGUGUGUGUGUGUGUGUGUGUGUGUGUGUGUGUGUGUGUG
rnacentral:lncRNA from 1 species